GACGAACGCUGGCGGCGUGCUUAACACAUGCAAGUCGAACGGAAAGGCCCCUUUGGGGGUCCUCGAGUGGCGAACGGGUGCGUAACACGUGAGUAACCUGCCCUUGACUUCGGGAUAACUUCAGGAAACUGGGGCUAAUACCGGAUAGGCAUCCUUGCUGCAUGGGGGGGGUUGGAAAGCUUCUGCGGUUUUGGAUGGACUCGCGGCUUAUCAGCUUGUUGGUGGGGUAGUGGCUUACCAAGGCUUUGACGGGUAGCCGGCCUGAGAGGGCGACCGGCCACAUUGGGACUGAGAGACGGCCCAGACUCCUACGGGAGGCAGCAGUGGGGAAGCUUGCACAAUGGGCGGCAGCCUGAUGCAGCAACGCCGCGUGCGGGAUGACGGCCUUCGGGUUGUAAACCGCUUUCAGCAGGGGCGAAGCUUGUGGUGACGGUACCUGCAGAAGAAGCACCGGCUAACUACGUG
rnacentral:rRNA from 1 species